rnacentral:rRNA from 1 species
GGGGGGGGGGGGGGGGGGGGCGGGGGGGGGCGGGGCGGGGGAGCGGAGGGGGGGGUGGCGGCGCUGAGGGUAGCGGCGGGCGGGUGAGGAGCACGGGGAUAACCUACCUAUAAGACUGGGAUAACUUCGGGAAACCGGAGCUACUACCGGAUAAUAUUUUGAACCGCAUGGUUCAAAAGUGAAAGACGGUCUUGCUGUCACUUAUCGAUGGAUCCGCGCUGCAUUAGCUAGUUGGUAAGGUAACGGCUUACCAAGGCAACGAUGCAUAGCCGACCUGAGAGGGUGAUCGGCCACACUGGAACUGAGACACGGUCCAGACUCCUACGGGAGGCAGCAGUAGGGAAUCUUCCGCAAUGGGCGAAAGCCUGACGGAGCAACGCCGCGUGAGUGAUGAAGGUCUUCGGAUCGUAAAACUCUGUUAUUAGGGAAGAACAUAUGUGUAAGUAACUGUGCACAUCUUGACGGUACCUAAUCAGAAAGCCACGGCUAACUACGUG